rnacentral:lncRNA from 1 species
CUUUGAACUGUUUGUUCCUGGUACUUCAAGUAUGAGGCUUUGCAAAUUGAAAUCACGAACAAAUUUUGAUAAUUCAUUUGGCAAAGUCUAUAAAACAAAAUAUGAAAAAGAAAACCAAUAAAAAUAAGAGAUAAUAAAGAUCAUGAACAUUUUAAAAAACUAACUUCAGAUGUGAAAAAUGAAUAGAAAAGGGAAUAUCUUACAAUUUUUGUUUGGCUGCAACGGUUUAAAUGGUCAAUACUGAAUUCAAAGGUAUGUACAUCCGGAAUUGGAUGAUCUGCAAAUCCUAAUGGAAAAAAACUUACUGCAUAAGUGUUAGGUGCAUCUUCAACUCCAGAAUUUUCCAAUCGUUCAGAAUAAUCUUCACCAUAUUUUUCAAGGAAUUCAGCGUAAUCCGAAUCAAUUUCUUCAUAAUUAUCACGGUGAAAUUGACU